rnacentral:rRNA from 1 species
AUGGUCAUGGUUGUGCUACAGAUAACAUUGAUUUUUAAAAUGCUUCGAUUACACGUCAAAGGAAUCGCGAAAAACCAAGUUGUCGUCUAUGAUCCGAUCAGGAAAUGGAUGGACAACUGCUACCGCGGGGUACCCCUUGGCGGUUUAGGAAGCAUAGGGAGAAGCUACCGAGGGUACUUUCAGCAGUUUCAAAUAUUCCCCAGGAUCUAUGAAGAGAAGCCUGUCCUUGCCAACCAGUUCCAAGCAUUCAUCUCGCAUCCUGGUGGGAAGAGCUACUCGACGGCGUUGAAACUCAUAUGCUGCUAUUUUUGUCAGGCUCGCCUUUUCGAUGCGCAAAAUGAUGAGGGAUAA